rnacentral:rRNA from 1 species
CACCGAAAGCUCAAGUGGUGUCCACGAAUAUUGGGCCUAAAGAGUCCGUAGCUGGCUUGUUAAGUUCUCUGUGAAAUCUUCCAGCUUAACUGGAAGGCGUGCAGGGGGUACUGACAGGCAUGGGAGUGGGGGAAGUCAGGAGUACUCACGGGGUAGAGGUAAAAUUCUGUAAUCCUGUGAGGACUACCAGUGGCGAAGGCGCCUGACUAAAACAUGUCCGACAGUGAGGGACGAAGGCUAGGAGAACGAAUCGGAUUAGAUACCCGAGUAGCCCUAGCAGUAAAUUAUGCAGACUGUGGUGUUGCGGUGGCUUUGAGCCGCUGCAGUGCCGUAGCGUAGGUGUUAAGUCUGCCGCCUGGGGAGUACGGCCGCAAGGUUGAAACUUAAAGGAAUUGGCGGGGGAGCACCACAAGGGGUGGAUGCUGCGGUUCAAUUGGAUUCAACGCCGGA